rnacentral:rRNA from 1 species
GUAGGGAAUCUUCCACAAUGGACGAAAGUCUGAUGGAGCAACGCCGCGUGAACGAUGAAGGCCCUCGGGUCGUAAAGUUCUGUUGUAAGGGAAGAACAAGUGCCGCAGGCAAUGGCGGCACCUUGACGGUACCUUGCGAGAAAGCCACGGCUAACUACGUGCCAGCAGCCGCGGUAAUACGUAGGUGGCAAGCGUUGUCCGGAAUUAUUGGGCGUAAAGCGCGCGCAGGCGGCCUCUUAAGUCUGAUGUGAAAGCCCCCGGCUCAACCGGGGAGGGCCAUUGGCAACUGGGAGGCUUGAGUAUAGGAGAGAAGAGUGGAAUUCCACGUGUAGCGGUGAAAUGCGUAGAGAUGUGGAGGAACACCAGUGGCGAAGGCGACUCUUUGGCCUAUAACUGACGCUGAGGCGCGAAAGCGUGGGGAGCAAACAGGAUUAGAUACCCGAGUAGUCC